rnacentral:lncRNA from 1 species
UCUGGUGUCGCAGACACUAAAUCAGCAGUCAGUCAUGUUUUUCUGUGUUCUGAUCAACGCUGAAUAAACUUGUAAAUAAUGCUCUCCUGACUGCAACUUUUGGCUGUGCAUUUAUCUGCUGAUAGAGCGUGCAUGAGCUCUAGAAUGUGGCAAGAUAUUUUCUAGAAACUCAUGUCGCUGCGUGCCUACGGGAGACUGAGAUGGAUCGUCCGGCAGACGGCUUGGGGGCCUUGAUGGACUUUAUCUCCCUGGCAGUAUCCCAACAUUUCUAUGUUCUUAUGUAAGUAACUCAGCACAGAUUGCCAAUUGCUUUUCCCAAUAUGAAAUCCUUGGGACUGAGCAGUGUGCACCGACAAGGAGCAGAACCAGCCACCGUGUCCUUCUGUGUAUGUAUAUAUUGCUAUAGUUUUGGGAGUUCAACCCUGUCUUACUAUAAUCAGCUCUGCAAAUCUAUGGAAUCAAGGUCCCAUUUCUUUAAGAGGGCUUUGACUGUGAGCCCUUCACAAAUUUGUUUCUCCUUGCACUGUUUGGAUUUCCAUAUGUUGGCAAAUCAUGAGCAAAAGUCAGACCGGAGAACAGGACUCCAUUCUUCGCUUCUCACUAGGGUUCCCACCUGUGCUUUUAAUGGCUCUAGGAGGAAGCCAAAUCAGUCCAAAUCUCAGUUUGUUUAACUUGGCAGCUCCAGCAGGAUAUGCACAAGCUUCCCUUCAAAUAAAUGCAGUUAUUUUAAUCCCCACGUUUACACAGCCAGGGGAGUUUGCAGGUGCUGCGAGGUAUUGAAUUACUCACAUAUGUGUAUUCCACAUGAAAAUGAUCUUCCAAAAAUGCACAUAAAAACCAGUUAGCUUCUUUUUAAACAUGCUUCCCCACAGCAACCAAAAAGUCAGGCUGAUUUCUAUAUUGUCAGUGUAGCACAAGACUGAAGUACUGGAAAUGGACCAAAGAGGAGUGGGGAAUAUUGCUGAACUCUCAUCUGCCCUAGCAAGCAUAGCCAAUGGACAGGGAUGAAGCGUUGUUGUAGUUCAGCAACAGGGAUAAAGAUUCUCUAUGCAUUGGAAUCAUGAAUCCUGAUAUGUAGACUGCAUUGGCCAUUAUGGCAAGUUGUUGUUAACUAUAGAAAUUUCUGGAAAUGGCAAACAGUGUGUAAAGUACAGGGUCUUCAAAGGGUGGGCUAACAAGUUUCCAUGUACUCAGUGCAUGUACUCUUCUAAAAAAAAAAAUUUUUUUUAGCAUUUUCCAAACAACAACACCAACAUGAAAGAUAUCAAAAAAUAACAAUACACAACACAUAAAAAUCAACAUUCGAAAACUAAAGAAAGCAACAACAACAACAACAACAAACAAAAAACAAAUCCAUAUCUUACAAGUUAAUAUUAUAAACACUAAAACAACAACAAGACAUUGGCUUCCACCAAUCCCGCAGCACCUCCUUUAUCUCUCAUUGUGUCUUCCUGUUUUCUUGUUUUCUUUAUCAUCUCUAUCCUAACAUCUAGAUAUAAAUCCUUCUUUCAUAUCCUCAGCGCAUGUACUCAGUGCAUGAGGACAGAUCACUCACACCAUACUCAGUUCCUAGUAGUAAAGACUAGGCUGCCUAAGCUGCCAUCCUAUGGGGAGUAGGGAGGAAGAAGCAGUGCUGGAUAGUGUUCUGCAUUAGAUUGCUGUGAUUGGGUAUUCAUUCCUUUACCAAAGGUGUCAUGGACUUUGAAGACUUUGAAGAACUCAGGACAAAAGGAAGAAACAUGCUAAGAGGAAGGGACAUUUGGCAAACCCUCACCAUGAUAAACUCCCACCCGGAAACCUAUGUCCCAACUGUGGAAGGAUGUGUGGAUCCAGAAUUGGCCUCCACAGUCACUUACGGACUCACUGUUAAGUGUUCAUGGAAGACAAUCUUACUCAGCUACGAGUAAUCGCCAAAGAAGAAGAUUCAUUCUGAAUUGAGAAACAAGGCUGCUCAGAGACAUGCCCUUCAGGACCCUGGACAGAUCCCAGGAAACAGAGGAGUUGCCCAUAUAGAGGCUUGGUGUUAACUUUCUUUGUCUUUGCUGUCUCCCUCUUGCAGCAAGCUCUUGCUGAGGAAUUGACAGCCCAGAACUCUGUUGCCUCUUUGCUAUCCCUUCCCAAGCAUGAAGCCUAGGCCUGAGGAUACUGCCCUUGAUGAUAUAUGACUUGGGAACUGCUAUCUCUCAGAGUUCUGGUUUUGGCAUCUCUCAGAAUGCUUAGCUGAAAUUCACCAUUUUUGCUUUCUCAUGGAUGGACAGUGAAAUCGGGGUGUGAUUUAGAGAUUCUCCAAGGGGGGCUUACCUCUUGGUGAGAGGUCCUUCUUUAGUCUGUCACUGUUUUCUCCCCCAUUGCUCAAAUAUAUUGCCCCAAAGUGGAAUUCUGGGAAAAGAAAAUGGUAACUGCCACCCAGGAGCCACCUGCUGUUGCGAUCACAAAGCAUAGGCAGCUAAGGAGUACAAGCAAUUUUAUUCAUAAACCCCACCGAAGUUAGUUCUAGCUGUGGUUUGGAAGUCUUUGGCUUGGGAAGCCCCUGGUUUCUUACUAGGUCUUGGUUGUAGCUUAGUGGUUAAAUCAUCUGCCUUGCAUGCAGAAGGUCCCAGGUUCAAUCACCGCCAUCUCCAGGUAGGACUGGAAGAGACUCCUGUCUGAAACAUUGGAAAGUCACUGCCAGUCAGUGUAGCAGAUAAUAAUGAGCAAGAUGGACCAAUAAUCUGACUCAGUAUAGGGCAGCUUCCUAUGUUCCUAUGUACAGAAAGUGAAGGAGCUGAUGAGAUUGAGGAAUGAGGCUGAUUCAGGGGGUAAUGGGGACCACAUAAAUUUAAGUUGGUGGCCAUAGGUUUCCCACCUCUGGCUUAGCAUGACAAAACAGAAUUACCAAUACUUUCUUGCUCUAUCCCUGGCUGCUAUCUUUACCUAAGAGCCUUCUCAAUUUCUCUGUAUCUUCUCAGGCACUAAUUUUAAUUAGACUCAUCAAAUCUGUAAUAUCGGGGGUAUAUUUGAUGAGCAUGGGGGUGGGAGGCACAAGAGAUGUUAAGACUCCAAACAUUUUUUCUUAGUGGAGACUCUAAAGUAUUUCAUGCAGAGAAAUAAGCUAUAAACAUCUUUAAAAAUGGAGAUUAUAGUGGUUAUUUCGGGGCAGUUCCAGUUGUGUUGAUGUUUCCAGGCACUCCUGUAAUUAAACAUAUUCUUCAUUCCAGACAGGAACUCUACAUUGGUUUACCAAAGAAGAACAGCAUAAAUUUAAGAUAUCCAAAGCUGAUGAUGUGCCUGCCUACAAAUCAUAGAUACUUAGCAAUUAUCUCAAGCAGUUUCUAGGUGUUAAAAAUGCUCCAAAGAUAUUUUUCAAGACUCUUUUCAACAAUCAUAUCAGAAAGGCUACGAAUGGAUUCUUUCAGUUUCCUAUUUUUCUGAUCUUAAUUUCUCCGCAUUUCCACAGCAGUUUGCAACUUUUUUUUUAAAAAAAAGAAGGCAUCAUGAAAAUCCACCAGCAUGUUUAUUUAUUAAUUAUUAAAUUUGUAUACCGCCUUAUACCUGUAGAUCUCAGGGCAGUUCACAACAUUCAGGAACAUUUUAGUGGGGUUCUCUUAAAAGACAUACAGUGGUACCUCGGGUUACAUACACUUCAGGUUACAUAUGCUUCAGGUUACAGACUCUGCUAACCCAGAAAUAGUACCUCAGGUUAAGAAGUUUGCUUCAGGAUGAGAACAGAAUUCAUGCGGUGGCGGCAGCGGGAGGCCCCAUUAGCUAAAGUGGUGCUUCAGGUUCAGAACAGUUUCAGGUUAAGAACGGACCUCAGGAAUGAAUUAAGUACUUAACCCAAGGUACCACUGUAUUUUUAUAUUUAUUUUUAUAUGUAAGUGGAAAUCAGAAGCAUUACUGCCUCCAACCAUGGAGACAGAGCUUAGCCAUCAUGACCAGUAGCCAUCAAUAGCCUUACCAUCCAUGAAUUUGUCUUCUCCUCUUUUAAAGCCAUCCAAGUUGGUGGUCAUCACUGCCUCCUGAGCUCCAAAGUUUAACUAUGUGGUACAUGAAUAAGUACAUGCCUUUAUCUGUCCUGAAUCUUCCAGGAUUCAGUUUCAGUUUCAUUGGAUGUCCACGAGUUCUAGUGUUAUGAGGGAAGGACCAAACUUUUCUCUAUCCACUUUCUCUAUAUAUAGGUAGGUAGCAGUGUUGGUCUGCCAUUGUCGAACCAAAAUAAAAAAAAUGCCUUCCAGUAGCACCUUAAAGGUAAAGAUAAAGGGACCCCUGACCAUUAGGUCAAGUCAUGGCCAACUCUGGGGUUGCGGCACUCAUCUCGCUUUAUUGGCCGAGGGAACCGGCGUACAGCUUUCGGGUUAUGUGGCCAGCAUGACUAAGUCGCUUCUGGCGAACCAGAGCAGCGCACAGAAAUGCUGUUUACCUUCCCGCCGGAGCGGUACGUAUUUAUCUACUUGCACUGGUGCGCUUUCAAACUGUUAGGUUGGCAGGAGCAGGGACCGAGCAAUGGGAGCUCACCCCGUCGCGGGGAUUCGAACCGCCGGCCUUCUGAUUGGCAAAUCCUAGAGGCUCAGUGGUUUAGACCACAGUGCCACCCGUGUCCCUUAGCCCCUUAGAGACCAACUAAGUUUGUUAUUGGUAUGAGCUUUCGUGUGCAUGCACACUUCUUCAGAUACACUGAAACAGUGGGGAGGGGUAUUACUCAGAAGGGUGGUGGGAAUAGGUGAUUGGCUGAUAGGUGUGGUAAACCAGUUGACGACUGUUAAUGACUUCAAUUGGUCUUACAGGAAAAAGCAAGGGAUGAGAUGGCCAAAAAUAGCUUUAUCAUGUAUAAUUAGAUAAGAAUCCAAUGUCUCUAUUCAGACCAGGUCUCUCCAUUCCCACCACCCUUCUGAGUAAUACCCCUCCCCACCCUCUCACUAUAUAUGAGGGUCUGGUGACUUCUGUGUAUCUGAAGAAGUGUGCAUGCACACAAAAGCUCAUACCAAGAACAAACUUAGUUGGUCUCUAAGGUGCUACUGGAAAGAAUUUUUUUAUUUUGGUUCCACUUUCUCUAUGCCAUGCAUAAUUUUAUAAAUUUCCAUUAUGCCACCACUUACUUACCUUUUCUCUAAACUAAAAAGUCCCAAACCUCACAACCUUUCCUCAUAGUGGAAUCACUCCACCCCCUUUAUUAUCUUGGUUGUCCUUUGCUGAAGCUUUGCAACUCCUUUUUGAGUUGAGAUGACCAACUGUGGUCACAUCAUAGAUUUGUUGUUCCAGAACUGUUGGAACUGCAGUUUUAAGCACACACACACACACACACACACACACACACACCUGAUAGUAAGCCCAGUGUUACAUGCCACCCCAAUCUCCAAGUGGUGUGAGAUCCCAGGGGCCCCAGGCAGUUUCUUUUCUUUGUUAAUGGCUCACCUCCUUGUCUUUGUUCUCUCUUAAUGGCUCAUCUUUCAGGCAAUCUUUGAGCACAGGGAGCUGAGGCCAGCUACUUAGAGCAUGACUUCCAGUUUAACUCUCCAAGCAUUGAUUAAAUUCUAACACUUACUAAAGCCAGGAAUUAUGGGGUUCUUGCACCCACGAACCCUGGCACCCACAAACUCAUAGUACUAUUUUGGAAUGUUGUUUCUGUAAAGAGUGUUCAAGGGUAUCAGUGUGCUCCUAUUGUAUUGCAGUUUAAGUUCUCUAAAUGAUUUCAUUUGACAGAAUUCAGUGGGGGAAGAAGAGUUGUGUCUUUUGUUCAGUGCCCACACACCAGGCAGUCCACUUGGCCUUGACGCCAUUCAGAGAAGGGAACAUUUAAUGCAAUUGCUGGUUAUCAAAGAAAUUGGUCCUGGCAUCCUUUUUGCUCCUCUCCCCUUGCCUGGCUGUUCAUUUUCCUAAUGAAAGCUCCACCAAUUAAUAGUGCCCUUUUCCAAUCUCACUAAGUGAAGAGUUCUUAUCUCCUGCUGCAGGCUGUGAUUGAUUACAGGACUGUAACUCUAUUAUUGUCAAACUGCAGUAAUUAAGAGCUUGGAAUUGUAAGAAGGGUUUCCCCAUCUCAUCUCAUCUCUAUUCAAGUAUUGUUUUUCAAUUCUGGUGCUCAUUCAACUCUUCUUAGGAAAUGAUGGGAAUGUGUGAUCUGAUUCCUAAAACAGCUUGCCAAUGGAAAAUUAGUUUCCUGCUCCCCACCUCUCUCAUCCACACUGCCUUUCAUGCUCACUGCCUUUCAUGCAAGAAGUUUUAUCAUUUAUCUUAUGCUUAUUUCACUCCCCCAACCCAAAAUUCAAUAUAUUGGUGGUACCUAUUACACUAAUUGGAUUCUGAGCUAUGCAAAAAGAUUUGCAUGCAUAUGAAAAUGUAUUCCCAAAUAAAAUUUCCCUUCCAAUUGAAUUUGCUUAUUUGGAUUCAGCCUAGUGCAGAGGCUCCUUGAAGCUACAGGAGCUCCAUGUGUGCAGGAGACUACUGUUGAUGCAAGGACUUUCCAGUGAACCUAGAGGUUCUCAGGACAAGUAAAAAGGACUUUUUACACAGCAUAUAGUUAAACCACAGAAUCGGCUCCUACAAGGUGGAUUGAUGGGCUGACGGCCGUCAACUUUAAAAGGAGUUUAGACAAAUUCAUAAAGCUUUCAGUUCCUAAAGCUGGCUACAAGUAAUGAUGGUGAUAUAUUGUCUCCAGUAUCAGAGGUAGUGCUCUAGUGCUCAUGCCCUGCUUAUGGGCUUCCCACAGGCUUCUGGUUGGCCACUGUGAGAACAGAAUGCUGUGUUAGAUAGCUCUUCUUAUUCUCCUCUGGCCUUAGGAAGUCAUCCAAACCCAAGACCCACCAAGUCAAGCGUGCUAGGACCCAGCAAAUCUCUGGCUCAGUCAGCUGAUUCCCAUUGCAGCCAGGCUACACAAGUGUGAGCCCCACAUCCUGGCUCAAGCUGGCGAUAUGGCAGCACAAUUCCCUCAUCUCAACUCAGCUGGCUGAGCUGAGACUGGCAGAUCUUACACUGCUGUAAGCCCUGAAAAAUAGGCAUUCCAGGGGGUUGACAGGAAUAGGAUCAGGCAGGAUCCUUAUUCUGACUCUUAGCUCAACCAUGUUAAGCAGCAGAAUAUACGCCCGCAAAAAAGGGUGGUGUACUCAGUCUACAGUAGCCCCAUUCCUGAAUGGCAUUUGAAGUAGGGAUAAUCUAUGCUGGCUUAAUUUAAUAAAUUCCACUAGCUUCCUAUAUUUAGAAUUAUUCUGUAGGUCUCCAUUCAUUUGAAAUUAUGUGCAUGAGAUCCAGAAGGAAAAUCAGUGGUGCUCUACAUCAUCAUGCAAUGUCACAAUAUAUCUAGGGUGAAACCUUAUUGGCUACAUAAUAUCACAUGUCAGUGGUACUAAGUCACUGAUGGAAGAACCUGGAGCAUCAGAGAUGAAAAAAGAGGGAAGGAGGGCAAAUCUACCAAAUCAAACUUCUUCUUCUUCUUCUUCUUCUUCUUCUUCUUCUUCUUCUUCUUCUUCUUUAUUUUGAAAGGGGGAAAUGGACAUUUAAAUUUACUACCACAAUGGUCAGUUUAAAUGGGGUUGUUUUUUUCUUUUGCACUACUGCUGACCACUAGUCAUCUUCUGCCUCCACCAUUGGAGGCAAUAUGCCUGUGAAUAUAAUUUCCUUGGAACGACAACUGGAGAGUUUGCUGUUUCACUCAGGUCCUGCUUUUGGACUUCCAGUGGGCAUCAGGCUGGCCACUUUGAGAAAAAGAUCCUGGACUACAUGGGCCAGAUCCAGCAGGGCACGUCUUAUGCUCUUAUGUAGUAUAAUUGUACAUGUAAUUGAAUUUCAUGAAAUUUCAGAGCAGCCUUCUCUAAAUGUGGUCUAGUGCCCAGUCCCCUGUGAACAAGGGAGAUCUGGCAUUGCCUUUCUGCUUCUCAAUUCCUGGCAACCGUCACAUUCCCUAACUGAUGUGCUAUUUUACUUAAUCCCAUAACAAUGCCAGCCUGUCCUCGGAUGCAUUGAGCCUGAAGCAAGCUGAGCUGAUUUGCUCUCUCUUAUCCCUGUUGUAAUGUUCCCUCCUGCAGUCACUCUGCAGGAUUCCACCUUGAUGUUUCUCACAUGCCGCAUAAGACGAAGAGCCCGGUGAUUAUUUCAAAGAGCUAUGAAUAUGCUGCUAUGGCUUCAUCAUAACCAUUACAGAAGAUAAUGACAGAACAGUAAAUAGCAGCUGAUGUAGGCAGAUCUGUGGGAGACGACAAGAGCUGCAGACCUUUUGUUGCCUCUUCACAGCAUCUCUCAUUUCUCACUUGCGUCCAGAAAUGGCAAUUAUUGGAUUUCUCUUUUUUAAAUUUUCUUGUUACCGCAUAUCUAAUCAUCACCACCACCACCACCAUCAUAAAAUCAUAGAAUUGUAGAGUCGAAAGGAACCCCAAGGGUCAUCUAGUCAAACCCCCUGCAAUGCAAGAAUCUCAGCUAAAACAUCCGUGACAGACGGCCUUCCAACCUCUGCUUAAGAACCUCCAAGGAAGGAGAGCCCACCAUCACCCGAGGGAGACUGUUCCACUGUCAAACAGCUCUUAAUGUCAGAAAGUUCUUCCUAUUUGGGGUGAGCAAAACCCGGGAGACAUCAGCCAUACAUUCCAAUCGGGACGCCAUGAUACAGUGUCCAGACUGGACAGCAUUCUACUCACACAGGGUCUGAUCCCCUCAGUGGAAUCAACAAACAUAGGUAACAUUAAAAUCACAGAUCACGCCCCAGUAGAAGUCAUCGUUAAAAUAGGAGAAGGAACACAAACCACCCCAUCAUGGUCCUUCAGUCCCAUCCUAACUACAAACAAACAAAUUAGAGAGAGUCUCACAAAAACCCUCCAAGACUACUUCAAGGAAAACGAUGUAAACAAUAUAACAACCCCCCUCCUAUGGGACGCAAUGAAAGCGGUCACCAGAGGAGCUUGCAUAAAAGAGAAAACAUUCCUUAAAAACAAACCUCCUCAAAAAUUAGCAAAAUAGAACAAGACAUCACAGCCCUCUCAUCACGCUACAAACAAACAGGAUCUAAAAACUCCUCAAACUUAUAGAACAAAAAGGAGAGAACUAGACUCCUAGAAAUUAACAAAACAAUGAUCAACAUUCUAUACUCUAAACAACAUUUCUACGAAUAUGGAGGGGAAAACUCCAGAUUACUAGCAAAUAGAUGUAGGAAAAAAGCACUCAAAACAAGAAUACACUGCAUCACCAAAAGAGACGGCAACAUAACAUUCUCCCCCGAAGAAAUAACCUCAGAAUUUGCAGAAUUCUACUCCAACCUAUACACCUCCCAUAACCCACCAGAGAAGGAAAUCAGAAAAUUUCUAGCAGGACUGUCCAUGCCUACCCUAACUGAUGAGGAACAGGAAUUCAUGGACAGCCCUAUCACCCCAGAGGAAAUAGAUGCGGUCCUCAAAAACCUGAAACCACACAAAGCCCCAGGCCCAGACGGCUUCACAGCAGAAUUCUAUAGGAAAUUCAAAGAACCCUUGAUGCCCUACAUGACCCGCCUAUUCAACGACAUCAUAAAAGGGGGCCCCAUCCCCAAAACCCCCAUCCUCCAAAAUAGUCUCCAUCCCAAAACCACUAAAAGACAGCCUCAAAGUAGAAUCAUACCGCCCAAUCUCAUUAAUAAACCAAGACUACAAGAUAUUCACAUCAAUCUUGGCCAACCGCCUAAAAAUCUUCCUACACAAGUUAAUAGCCCCAGACCAGACUGGCUUUGUCCCUGGCCGCAAUAUAACAGACCCCAUCAGGAAACUACUGAACCUGAUCGAACACAGCAAGGCAACCAAACUCCCAUUGACAAUUAUGUCCCUAGACAUCCUCAAAGCCUUUGAUUGCUUAGAGUGGAAAUACAUAUUAGCAGUACUAACUAACAUGAAAUUUGGCCCCAACUUCCUACAAAUCCUCAAACAAAUAUACUCCCAAGCCUCAGCAAAAUGCAGAACUAACAAUAUGGAUUCUAAUACUAUAGCUAUCCAAAGAGGCACGAAACAAGGAUGCCCACUGUCUCCCUUCUUAUUUAUCCUGGCUCUGGAACCCUUAGCAAUCCGCAUCCGAGCAGCCACAGACAUCAAGGGAGUGGAUAUAAAAGGCAGAACCUAUAAAUUAGGGCUCUUUGCAGAUGACCUAAUGGUCACAACACCAGACCCCAUAAGCACAGCAACCUCCCUAAUCAGAGAACUCAACACAUUUGCAAUGGUGUCGGGCCUACAGGUAAAUUUUACAAAGUCAGAAGCUAUGUGCUUCAACACCCCUCCUCACACCCAAAAAGAACUCACGAAGGUCACCAAAAUAAAACUUUGCCACACCAAGUUCAGAUACCUAGGGGUACAAAUAACCAGAAACCUCAAUAAAUUGUACCUCCACAACUACAAGCCCCUGUGGCGACAAAUUAACAAAGACCUAAAGAGAUGGAAUAACAUGAAUUUCACUCUCUCAGACAAAAUAGCCAUGAUCAAAAUGAUCACACUCCCAAAACUAACCUACCUAUUCCAAACCCUCCCAAUCUGGAUCCCCUCAACCCAACUUCGCAGUUGGCAGAGAAAACUACACUCUUUCAUCUUCUCACAUAAAAAACCAAGAAUAAGCCUCAAAUACCUGAACCUCCCCACCUCAGAAGGAGGAUGGGGAAUCCCCAACAUAGAAGCAUAUUACAAUGCCAACCAAAUACGCCAUAUAAUCCCAUAUAUACUAGAAGAUGAGACAAAACAAUGGGUACACCUAGAGAGGGACACAAUUGAAAAUACCUGCACCACAACAUACCCACUCCUCCCAAACAAACUAAAGAAAAUUCCCACAACACUUAACAGGUACACACAGACCAUGCUCAAAGCAUGGAAAACACAAAUAGGCAAACUAUCCCCAACCCCAUCCCCACUAAUCCCCCUGGCGUACCACCCAUUAUUCUACCAUGCAGCACAAAACCUCCAGAUAAAAACCUGGCAAACCAAAGGCUUAUAUCGCCUAAUAGACUUUUAUAAAAAUAACAAACCCUUGUCAACACAAGAAAUACAAGACAAACUAGAAGACACCCAAAUGCCCUGGUUAACACAACACCAACUACAUGCCCUCUUAAACAACCCAACAGUAAAAUCAGCAGCAACUAGGCCCUUGACAACCUUCGAAAACCUCCUCCUAACAACAAAGGGAAACGGUAAAGGGACGGUAUCCGCAAUAUACAAAAUACUACUCCAAAAUCCCACAAAUCCCCUAGAUGCAAUCAAAAAACAAUGGGAGAAUGACAUAGGCUAUGAGAUUAACCCUACUCAAUGGACCAGAAUGUGGUCUAAACCCCCCUUUAAAUCCAUAUCAAUGAAAAGAAAAGAACUCACACUGAAACUCACCUACAGGUGGUACCUAACACCAAGGAAACUAGCGCUAAUACACCCAGGAACCUCACCAAGAUGCUGGAGAGGUUGCACCUCCACAGGCACAUACCUCCACAUGUGGUGGGAGUGUCCCAAAAUCCAACUAUUCUGGACAACAGCCAUACAAGAAAUAUGUAAAAUAACUAAGCAAGUAAUAGACAUCACCCCAGAAUUGGCCCUACUAAACAUCUUCCAAGACAACAAUGCCCAUUUACACCACAAAGAACUCAUAACCCACCUACUAUCAGCAGCCAGAAACACCAUAACCAGACACUGGAGAGACCUGUCAGGAGUAAACAUGGACCAAUGGUACCAAAUAGUAUGGGAAACAGCCCUACUAGAAAAAUUAACUAAUAAACUGAAACUGACACGGGGACAAACAGAAGAAGACGCCUUCACCCCGCUAUGGCUCCCCUUUAUCACAUACACAGCCCAACAUGACAAUGACAAUAAUCCACCAACAGCAUACAAAUCAAUAUGGCUAACCUGAUCCAAAACACCCACCCACCUCACUCACACACGAAAACAAAGAUCACCACAGCCAAUCACAAGCAAACAAUCACACCCUAGGCCAACCCCAACCUCUCUCACCACCAAAGGAACACAAGUGAACAACACAAGCAACGCUGACACCAAACUCUACAUACAUUAAACAUAAUAGAAACACCGCCACCCGACCCCACCCCCAUCCAUCUUCCCUCUCUCCACCCCCCUUUCUUUUUUCCUUUUUUUCUUCUCCCCCUAAUGCCUCAACAAAUGAAACGGAUUUGUAAAAAUGUUACAUGGGGGAAAAAAAUACGAGGCAUUACACUUACUUCUGUAAAACAAGAAAAUCCUUAAUAAAAUAUUUUAAAAAAGAAAAAAAGAAAAGAAAGUUCUUCCUGAUGUUUAGUUGGAAUCUCCUUUCUUGUAAGUUGAAGUCAGUGAGUGGUUUAGGACCUACCUUUCAGAGCAGGAUAAAACAAGCUUGCUCCAUCUUACACGUGACAGCUGCAUAUACACACACACACACACACACACACACACACAGUGGUACCUCGGGUUAAGUACUUAAUUCAUUCUGGAGGUCCAUUCUUAACCUGAAACUGUCCUUAACCUGAAGCACUACUUUAGCUAAUGGGGGCUCCCGCUGCCACCGCACUGCCGCUGCACGAUUUCUGUUCUCAUCCUGAAGCAAAGUUCUUAACCUGAGGUAAUAUUUCUGGGUUAGCGGAGUCUGUAACCUGAAGCCUCUGUAACCUGAAGCGUAUGUAACCCGAGGUACCACUGUGUGUGUGUAUAAAAUGUAUUUUUAUUAAAUAUUUUCUUGGUUUACAAAAGUAUGUGCAAUGUCUCUCUCUCUCUCACUCUCUCUUUCUCUCUUUUCCCAAGUAACAUUUUUUACAGAUCAGUUUCAUUUGUUGAGACAUUAAGAAGAAAAGGGGGAAAGAGGUGGAAGAGGGGGAGAUAAGUGGGGGUGGGGUCGGGUGGCGAUGUUUCUAUUUUACUUACUAUGUGUGUGGUUUGGUGUCAAUGUUGCUUGUGCAGGUUCUCUGCUAUUCACUUGUGUUCCUUUGGUGGUGAGAGAGGUUAGGGUUGGCCUAGGGUGUGAUUGUUUGUUUGUGAUUGGCUGUGGUGGUCUUUGUUUUCAUGUGUGAGUGGGGUGGGUGGGUGUUUUGGAUCAGGUUAGCCGUAUUGGUUUGUAUGCUGCUGGUGGAUUUUUGUCAUUGUCUUGUUGGGCUGUGUAUGUGAUAUAGGGGAGCCAUAAAGGUGUCUUCUUCUGUUUGUCCCCAUGUCAGUUUCAGUUUAUUGGUUAAUUUUUCUAGUAGGGCUGUUUCCCAUAUUAUUUGGUACCAUUGGUCCAUGCUUACUCCUGACAGGUUUCUCCAGUGUCUGGUUAUGGUGUUUCUGGCUUCUGAAAGUAGGUGGGUUAUGAGUUCUUUAGCUGCUUAGAUAUUUGAAGAUGGUUAUCAUAUCUCCUUUCAGUCUCCUUUUUUCCAGGCUAAACAUAGCCAGCUCCUUCAACUGUUCCUCAUAAGGCUUGGUUUCUUUUCUUCAUAAGGCUUGGUAAUCAUCAUCAUCAUCAUCAUCAUCAUAACCGGAACACAGAAAGCUGCUGCACACUGAGUCAGACCAUUGAUCCAACUAGCUCAGUGUUGUCAACUAGCUGCAGGGUCUCCAGGCUUUCAGGAAGUGGCAUUCCCAACCCUACCUGAGGAUGCUGUGGACCUUCUGCAAAGAAAGAAGAUACUCUCCCAUUGAGUUCUUGCUGUUGUUGUUGUUGCUGCUGCUGCUAUUCUGUAGAGCAGCAACCAACAGUUGCUUCAGAUGCCUUGUGAAGACUUAUCCUUUUGCCCAAGCUUUUCCUGACCCAUAAAAUUGGACCCUAGUUUACAAGUUGGAAUCCUCUUUUCUAGGUAUUGAAAUCCCAAGGAAGCAGAAAAGACUUUUUAUGUACGUAUGUGACCACGGCUGCACGGAUUUUAUUGGCCCAGAGUUGGAAAGAAGAUAAAGUCCCUACCAGAGAAGAAUGGCAGAUGAAGUUGAUGGACUAUGCCAAAAUGACUGGAAGAAUCAGAAAUCAGGAAGACCAAAAGUUUAAUAAAGAAUGGGAAAAAUUUAUAACUUAUCUUAAAGACCAUUAUAAACAGUUAAAAUUGUUAGUGGGAUUGGAAUAUCACUUGUAGUUUAAUGGUGAAUUUUGGAUAUAAUGGAGAUGUAAAAGUUUUGGAUCAUCAUAAAAGAUGCAGGAGGAAAUAAAUAAUAGGACCCAUAAAGGGGAGGAUGAAAGUCCAGGAGAUUCCUUAGAAUCUUGUUUUUAUGAUUUAUGUUUGAUAUAGGAUUGUAAAAUUUCCAUCUGAAAAACCAAAUAAAUAAUUUUAAAAAGUUUUAA